CCUACGGGAGGCUGCAGUAGGGAAUUUUCGGCAAUGGGGGGAACCCUGACCGAGCAACGCCGCGUGAACGAAGAAGUUAUUCGUAAUGUAAAGUUCUUUUAACAGGGAAGUAAGAGAAAUUUGACGGUACCUGAAGAAUAAGCUCCGGCUAACUACGUGCCAGCAGCCGCGGUAAUACGUAGGGAGCGAGCGUUAUCCGGAAUUAUUGGGCGAAAAGGGUGCGUAGAUGGCAUAGUAAGUCUUUUGUAAAAAUGCUGGGCUCAACCCAGUAGGGCAAAAGAUACUGCAAAGCUAGAGUAUGACAGAGGCAAGUGGAACUACAUGUGUAGCGGUAAAAUGCGUAAAUAUAUGUAAGAACACCAGUGGCGAAGGCAGCUUGCUGGGUCGAUACUGACAUUGAGGCACGAAAGUGUGGGGAGCAAAAAGGAUUAGAUACCCGGGUAGUC
rnacentral:rRNA from 1 species